ACGGGUGAGUAACACGUAGGCAACCUGCCCUCAAGCUUGGGACAACUACCGGAAACGGUAGCUAAUACCGAAUACUUGUUUUCUUCGCCUGAAGGGAACUGGAAAGACGGAGCAAUCUGUCACUUGAGGAUGGGCCUGCGGCGCAUUAGCUAGUUGGUGAGGUAACGGCUCACCGAGGCGACGAUGCGUAGCCGACCUGAGAGGGUGAUCGGCCACACUGGGACUGAGACACGGCCCAGACUCCUACGGGAGGCAGCAGUAGGGAAUCUUCCGCAAUGGGCGAAAGCCUGACGGAGCAAUGCCGCGUGAGUGAUGAAGGUUUUCGGAUCGUAAAGCUCUGUUGCCAGGGAAGAACGCUUAGGAGAGUAACUGCUCCUGAGGUGACGGUACCUGAGAAGAAAGCCCCGGCUAACUACGUGCCAGCAGCCGCGGUAAUACGUAGGGGGCAAGCGUUGUCCGGAAUUAUUGGGCGUAAAGCGCGCGCAGGCGGUCAUUUAAGUCUGGUGUUUAAUCCCGGGGCUCAACCCCGGAUCGCACUGGAAACUGGGUGACUUGAGUGCAGAAGAGGAGAGUGGAAUUC
rnacentral:rRNA from 1 species